rnacentral:rRNA from 1 species
GGUUGACCUCGGAUCAGGUAGGAAUACCCCGCUGAACUUAGCAUAUCAAUAAGGCGGAGGAA